CGUAGGUGGCAAGCGUUGUCCGGGAUUAUUGGGCGUAAAGGGCGCGUAGGCGGUCCCUUAAGUCAGAUGUGAAAUCCCGAGGCUUAACCUCGGGCGUGCAUUUGAAACUGGGGGACUAGAGUGCAGGAGAGGUAAGUGGAAUUCCUAGUGUAGCGGUGAAAUGCGUAGAUAUUAGGAGGAACACCAGUGGCGAAGGCGACUUACUGGACUGUAACUGACGCUGAGGCGCGAAAGCGUGGGGAGCAAACAGGAUUAGAUACCCUGGUAGUCCACGCUGUAAACGAUGGAUACUAGGUGUGGGAGGUAUCGACCCCUUCCGUGCCGCAGUAAACGCAAUAAGUAUCCCGCCUGGGGAGUACGGCCGCAAGGUUG
rnacentral:rRNA from 1 species